CUAGACCUUGAUCUGCCUUUCCGAUCAACAUUCCUUUGAGCUUUGAAUUCGACCACUCAGUUUUGUCCAACUUGGUUCGCAAAGUUCCAGACUAUCGUUGUUGUUUCUGUUGCCCCGCAUGGAGUUGUACAGCUUGGCUCUUUAAAUAAAGGAGUCAGUAAAAUUUUCUGUUGGGGACAAUGGCUAUUACUGUGAGACUCAUGGCUUCAAUGGUAGCAUUACUUGGUACAAAUUGCAAAAAGAAGAGGCACUAUAAGUUUGUGUGAUCAAAACAAGUGAAGUUGGUGAAAAACUUAAGGAUACUCCUCUGAUCGAACAAUCUCCAGCUCUCCCCAAAUCAUCAGCCGCAUCUUAUCAACCAAGAAACUUAUAAGUUUUAUCUUGGAGUUCUUGGGCUUUUUUGUGUACAGAGAACUAUGGAAGAACAACCGCAUUUCUUGCAAGUGUUGAAAGACAUUUUUAAACACUUUAGAAUUUUGAUUAUAGUAUUAGAUUAAUUUCAGCGGUUGUUUUAUUCAAAUGACCACAUCUUUUUUUUGUUAAUUUAAAGAUGGUGGUUAUAGACAAUGUUAUGUAUUUGAUAAUAUAUUUCUAUGUCAAUAUUAUGUUAGUUUCAAGACA